rnacentral:rRNA from 1 species
GUCGAACGCUGAAGCAUCCAGCUUGCUGGGUGUGGAUGAGUGGCGAACGGGUGAGUAACACGUGAGUAACCUGCCCCUGACUUCGGGAUAAGCCUGGGAAACUGGGUCUAAUACCGGAUAUGACUACUGGCCGCAUGGUCUGGUGGUGGAAAGGGUUUUACUGGUUGGGGAUGGACUCGCGGCCUAUCAGUUUGUUGGUGGGGUAGUGGCCUACCAAGACGACGACGGGUAGCCGGCCUGAGAGGGCGACCGGCCACACUGGGACUGAGACACGGCCCAGACUCCUACGGGAGGCAGCAGUGGGGAAUAUUGCACAAUGGGGGGAACCCUGAUGCAGCGACGCCGCGUGCGGGAUGACGGCCUUCGGGUUGUAAACCGCUUUCAGUAGGGAAGAAGCGAAAGUGACGGUACCUGCAGAAGAAGUACCGGCUAACUACGUGCCAGCAGCCGCGGUAAUACGUAGGGUACAAGCGUUGUCCGGAAUUAUUGGGCGUAAAGAGCUCGUAGGUGGUUGGUCACGUCUGCUGUGGAAACGCAACGCUUAACGUUGCGCGUGCAGUGGGUACGGGCUGACUAGAGUGCAGUAGGGGAGUCUGGAAUUCCUGGUGUAGCGGUGAAAUGCGCAGAUAUCAGGAGGAACACCGGUGGCGAAGGCGGGACUCUGGGCUGUAACUGACGCUGAGGAGCGAAAGCAUGGGGAGCGAACAGGAUUAGAUACCCUGGUAGUCCAUGCCGUAAACGUUGGGAACUAGGUGUGGGGUCCAUUCCACGGAUUCCGUGCCGUAGCUAACGCAUUAAGUUCCCCGCCUGGGGAGUACGGCCGCAAGGCUAAAACUCAAAGGAAUUGACGGGGGCCCGCACAAGCGGCGGAGCAUGCGGAUUAAUUCGAUGCAACGCGAAGAACCUUACCAAGGCUUGACAUACACCGGAAACGGCUAGAGAUAGUCGCCUCUUCGGACUGGUGUACAGGUGGUGCAUGGUUGUCGUCAGCUCGUGUCGUGAGAUGUUGGGUUAAGUCCCGCAACGAGCGCAACCCUCGUUCUAUGUUGCCAGCACGUAAUGGUGGGGAACUCAUG